GGGUUGUGAGGUUAAGCGACUAAGCGUACACGGUGGAUGCCCUGGCAGUCAGAGGCGAUGAAGGGCGUGCUAAUCUGCGAUAAGCGCCGGUAAGGUGAUAUGAACCGUUAUAACCGGCGAUACCCGAAUGGGGAAACCCAGUGUGAUUCGUCACACUAUCAUUAACUGAAUCCAUAGGUUAAUGAGGCGAACCGGGGGAACUGAAACAUCUAAGUACCCCGAGGAAAAGAAAUCAACCGAGAUUCCCCCAGUAGCGGCGAGCGAACGGGGAGGAGCCCAGAGCCUGAAUCAGCAUGUGUGUUAGUGGAAGCGUCUGGAAAGGCGCGCGAUACAGGGUGACAGCCCCGUACACAAAAGCGCAUGUGUUGUGAGCUCGAUGAGUAGGGCGGGACACGUGGUAUCCUGUCUGAAUAUGGGGGGACCAUCCUCCAAGGCUAAAUACUCCUGACUGACCGAUAGUGAACCAGUACCGUGAGGGAAAGGCGAAAAGAACCCCGGCGAGGGGAGUGAAAAAGAACCUGAAACCGUGUACGUACAAGCAGUGGGAGCACAGGUUUACCUGUGUGACUGCGUACCUUUUGUAUAAUGGGUCAGCGACUUAUAUUCUGUAGCAAGGUUAACCGUAUAGGGGAGCCGGAGGGAAACCGAGUCUUAAUUGGGCGUUAAGUUGCAGGGUAUAGACCCGAAACCCGGUGAUCUAGCCAUGGGCAGGUUGAAGGUUGGGUAACACUAACUGGAGGACCGAACCGACUAAUGUUGAAAAAUUAGCGGAUGACCUGUGGCUGGGGGUGAAAGGCCAAUCAAACCGGGAGAUAGCUGGUUCUCCCCGAAAGCUAUUUAGGUAGCGCCUCGUGAAUUCAUCUCCGGGGGUAGAGCACUGUUUCGGCUAGGGGGCCAUCCCGGCUUACCAACCCGAUGCAAACUGCGAAUACCGGAGAAUGUUAUCACGGGAGACACACGGCGGGUGCUAACGUCCGUCGUGAAGAGGGAAACAACCCAGACCGCCAGCUAAGGUCCCAAAGUCAUGGUUAAGUGGGAAACGAUGUGGGAAGGCCCAGACAGCCAGGAUGUUGGCUUAGAAGCAGCCAUCAUUUAAAGAAAGCGUAAUAGCUCACUGGUCGAGUCGGCCUGCGCGGAAGAUGUAACGGGGCUAAACCAUGCACCGAAGCU
rnacentral:rRNA from 1 species